AGAUUGAACGCUGGCGGCAUGCCUAACACAUGCAAGUCGAACGGGAGUAGCAAUACUCUAGUGGCGGACGGGUGAGGAAUACGUAGGAAUUUGCCCUUAAGUGGGGGAUAACCCGGGGAAACCCGGAUUAAUACCGCAUGACCUCGAAAGAGCAAAGCGGGGGAUCGCAAGACCUCACGCUUUUGGAGAAGCCUACGUCGGAUUAGCUAGUUGGUGAGGUAAUGGCUCACCAAGGCGACGAUCCGUAACUGGUCUGAGAGGAUGAUCAGUCACACCGGAACUGAGACGCGGUCCGGACUCCGUACGGGAGGCAGCGAGGUGGGGAAUAGUUGGACAAGUGGGCGACAAGCCUGACUCCGAGCAAGUCGCCGUCGUGUGUAGAA
rnacentral:rRNA from 1 species